rnacentral:rRNA from 1 species
UACGUAGGGUGCGAGCGUUAAUCGGAAUUACUGGGCGUAAAGUGUGCGUAGGUGGCUUCGCAAGUCGAGUGUGAAAUCCCCGGGCGUUAACCUGGGAAUUGCGCUCGAAACUACGGAGCUGGAGUAUGGCAGAGGGAGGUGGAAUUCCACGUGUAGCGGUGAAAUGCGUAGAGAUGUGGAGGAACACCAAUGGCGAAGGCAGCCUCCUGGGCCAAUACUGACACUCAUGCACGAAAGCGUGGGGAGCAAACAGGAUUAGAAACCC